AACUAACGCUAUUAUUGAUACAGUCUGUACUAUAUUG
rnacentral:misc_RNA from 1 species